rnacentral:rRNA from 1 species
UACAGAGGGGGCAAGCGUUGUUCGGAAUUACUGGGCGUAAAGGGCGCGUAGGCGGCCCGCUAAGUCGAACGUGAAAUCCCCGAGCUCAACUCGGGAACUGCGUCCGAUACUGGCGGGCUUGAAUCCGGGAGAGGGAUGUAGAAUUCCAGGUGUAGCGGUGAAAUGCGUAGAUAUCUGGAGGAAUACCGGUGGCGAAGGCGGCAUCCUGGACCAUAACUGACGCUGAGGCGCGAAAGCUAGGGGAGCAAACGGG